AUACUUACCUGGUAGGGGAGAUAUCAUGAUCAUGAAAAUAGUUCUCCCAAGGCGAGGCUCAGCCAUUGCACUACGGCUGUGCUGACCCCUGCGAUUUCUCCAAAUGCAGAAAACUUGACUGCAUAAUUUGUGGUAGUGGGGGACUGAAAAAAAACUCUAC